UGGGGAAUUUUGGACAAUGGGCGCAAGCCUGAUCCAGCCAUGCCGCGUGCGGGAAGAAGGCCUUCGGGUUGUAAACCGCUUUUGUCAGGGAAGAAAUCUUCUGAGUUAAUACCUCGGGAGGAUGACGGUACCUGAAGAAUAAGCACCGGCUAACUACGUGCCAGCAGCCGCGGUAAUACGUAGGGUGCAAGCGUUAAUCGGAAUUACUGGGCGUAAAGCGUGCGCAGGCGGUUUUGUAAGACAGAGGUGAAAUCCCCGGGCUCAACCUGGGAACUGCCUUUGUGACUGCAAGGCUUGAGUGCGGCAGAGGGGGAUGGAAUUCCGCGUGUAGCAGUGAAAUGCGUAGAUAUGCGGAGGAACACCGAUGGCGAAGGCAAUCCCCUGGGCCUGCACUGACGCUCAUGCACGAAAGCGUGGGGAGCAAACAGGAUUAGAUAGCCCUGGUAGUCCACGCCCUAAAACGAUGUCAACUGGUUGUUGGGAAGGUUCCUUCUCAGUAACGUAGCUAACGCGUGAAGUUGACCCCUGGGGAGUACGGCCGCAAGGUUG
rnacentral:rRNA from 1 species